rnacentral:rRNA from 1 species
AGUGAACGCUGGCGGUAGGCCUAACACAUGCAAGUCGAACGGCAGCACAGGAGAGCUUGCUCUCUGGGUGGCGAGUGGCGGACGGGUGAGGAAUACAUCGGAAUCUACUCUGUCGUGGGGGAUAACGUAGGGAAACUUACGCUAAUACCGCAUACGACCUACGGGUGAAAGCAGGGGAUCUUCGGACCUUGCGCGAUUGAAUGAGCCGAUGUCGGAUUAGCUAGUUGGCGGGGUAAAGGCCCACCAAGGCGACGAUCCGUAGCUGGUCUGAGAGGAUGAGCAGCCACACUGGAACUGAGACACGGUCAGACUCCUACGGGAGGCAGCAGUGGGGAAUAUUGGACAAUGGGCGCAGGCCUGAUCCAGCCAUACCGCGUGGGUGAAGAAGGCCUUCGGGUUGUAAAGCCCUUUUGUUGGGAAAGAAAUCCAGCUGGCUAAUACCCGGUUGGGAUGACGGUACCCAAAGAAUAAGCACCGGCUAACUUCGUGCCAGCAGCCGCCGUAA